CGUAGGGUGCGAGCGUUAAUCGGGAUUACUGGGCGUAAAGCGUGCGCAGGCGGUUUUGUAAGACAGGCGUGAAAUCCCCGGGCUCAACCUGGGAACUGCGCUUGUGACUGCUAAGCUAGAGUACGGCAGAGGGGGGUGGAAUUCCACGUGUAGCAGUGAAAUGCGUAGAGAUGUGGAGGAACACCAAUGGCGAAGGCAGCCCCCUGGGUCGAUACUGACGCUCAUGCACGAAAGCGUGGGUAGCAAACAGGAUUAGAUACCCUGGUAGUCCACGCCCUAAACGAUGUCAACUAGGUGUUGGGAGGGUAAAACCUUUUAGUACCGGAGCUAACGCGUGAAGUUGACCGCCUGGGGAGUACGGCCGCAAGGUUA
rnacentral:rRNA from 1 species